rnacentral:rRNA from 1 species
GCAGGCGAGAAACCUCCACAAUGUGGGAAACCACGAUGGGGGGAUUCCAAGUGGAUGCACUUUUGUGCAUCCUGUUCUCAAGUCUAAAAAACUUGAGAAGUAAGGGCCGGGUAAGACGGGUGCCAGCCGCCGCGGUAAUACCCGCGGCCCGAGUGGUGCUCAUUAUUAUUGAGCCUAAAGCGUCCGUAGCUGGCCGGGUAAAUCCCUGGGGAAAUCGGGCGACUCAAUCGACCGAAGUCCAGGGACACUACUUGGCUUGGGAUCGGGAGAGGGUGAUAGUACUCCCUGGGUAGGGGUAAAAUCCUGUAAUCCAGGGGGGACUACCAGUGGCGAAGGCGAUCACCUAGAACGAAUCCGACAGUGAGGGACGAAGCCCUAGGGCGCAAACGGGAUUAGAUACCCCCGUAGUCC